UGAGGAAUAUUGGUCAAUGAGCGCAAGCCUGAACCAGCCAUCCCGCGUGCAGGAAGACGGCGCUAUGCGUUGUAAACUGCUUUUCCAGGGAGAGAAACUUGCGCACGUGUUGCGCAAUUGACGGUACCCUGGGAAUAAGCAUCGGCUAACUCCGUGCCAGCAGCCGCGGUAAUACGGAGGGUGCGAGCGUUAUCCGGAUUCAUUGGGUUUAAAGGGUGCGUAGGCGGACUAUUAAGUCAGUGGUGAAAUCCUGCAGCUUAACUGCAGAACUGCCAUUGAUACUGAUAGCCUUGAGUUUGGUUAAGGUAGGCGGAAUGUGUAAUGUAGCGGUGAAAUGCUUAGAUAUUACACAGAACACCGAUUGCGUAGGCAGCUUACUGAGCCGACACUGACGCUGAGGCACGAAAGCGUGGGGAUCGAACAG
rnacentral:rRNA from 1 species